AUGAAGUCGUCGGAGGCGAAGCACGCCACGUCCGAGCGCGAGAACGCGCGGCUCCUCGAGUCGCAGCGGUCCGGGCAGCACGAGGUGGCCAAGCUGCGGGACAUCCUGAAGCAGGUCGUCAAGGACACCAAGUUCGUCAAGGAGGUGCUGGAGGAGGAGAGGAGCAAGAACGCCAUGCUCAAGGAGAUGGUCGGGAGCAAGGACACCGCCGUCAAGUGCAUUAAGGAGGAGCUGGAGUGCCUCAGGGUGAGCGAAGUCGCGGCGCGCGACAGCGUCAAGGACUGCAGAGCCUGCUAG
rnacentral:rRNA from 1 species